AAGAUAAGAGUAUCACUUUGUUGAAGAAGAAAAAAAUGUUGGGAUUUGGAGACAUGAAACCAAGACUGAAUUCUUACCAUGAAUAAUUCCUAGGAAAGGGACAAGAUUAAAUAAUAAGAAAGGGAGAGGAACGGGAACACAGUGAAAAAAGUUACUACCAUGAUUUCCAGUAUACAGAUGGUGCUCUAUAUCUAUCAGGCAAAUGCAUGGAAGAAAG